rnacentral:rRNA from 1 species
UGGGGAAUUUUGGACAAUGGGGGCAACCCUGAUCCAGCCAUGCCGCGUGAGUGAAGAAGGCCCUCGGGUUGUAAAGCUCUUUUGUCCGGAAAGAAAAGCAUUCGGUGAAUACCCGGAUGUUCUGACGGUACCCGCAGAAUAAGCCCGGGCUAACUUCGUGCCAGCAGCCGCGGUAAGACGAAGGGGGCAAGCGUUGUUCGGAAUUACUGGGCGUAAAGGGCGCGUAGGCGGUUUGCUUAGUCAGGCGUGAAAGCCCUGGGCUUAACCUGGGAUGUGCGCUUGAUACUGGCAGGCUUGAGUGUGGGAGAGGUUGGUGGAAUUCCCAGUGUGGAGGUGAAAUUCGUAGAUAUUGGGAAGAACACCGGUGGCGAAGGCGGCCAACUGGACCACAACUGACGCUGAGGCGCGAAAGCGUGGGGAGCAAACA